AACAGGUGACGCUUGCAUUGCAUGUAUUUGUGUCUUGACGAGCUCAGCUGAUCUACAUGUUUCUAUGUCUCUAGGCAAAGUGAGCGCAUUAUCACCUAACAGUCUCUCUUUCAGAUGAGUAUCAUUUAUGUUAAACACUAAUUUAUCCCUAAUCAUGUCAUCUUCAUUUCUGCCAAACUCACAGUCUUUGUUCUUUCGACGUAGCUCUGUGAUGAAUCUGUCCACCGAUAUUCCUGAUGACCGUGUGCGACCAAAACUGAUGGCGUUCGAAAACGGCGUUCUUUCUGUGGGCUACAGUAGUCCCUAAAUGCUACCAGAACUUCCUCCAUCGUUGCUUCGUCUCCUUCAUGGAUAAUGAGUACAUCAAACCAAUCGGCAACACCCAUGUUGCACGGUUUAAAGAACCAUGUAUAUUGGAGUGCAACCUCUUCAACCUCAGGGGCUUAGAAGGUGGCCAAGUGGAUUUCACUAUUUAACAACAUUCAAUACAUCCAUGGGCAUGAAGACCCCCUCUUCCCCAGAGACAAAGAAGGGUGAAGCUACCACAAAGCCUGUUAAAACAGAACCCACAUUCAAUUAUGUGGGUGACUUGAUGAGGAUGGUGUUUGAGGACCCAGCACCAUUUGUGGAGUAGAUGAAAAAAUCCCCAACCCCAAGGAUAUAUCAUCCCAAUAUGACAGGCCGUGAAAAGGAGGAAGUGGUUGCUCGCCACAUGUCAGGCUUAAGUCAAGGGGCAGUCGGAAGCCAACAUACUGGUCAGCUGGAUCAGGAAACUCCUGGCGGAUGACUCGAUGACGACCCUGUUGUGGCGUCCCACAGCAUCAACUGCGAGAAAAACAAUGAGGCAAUAUUGCAGUUGUAAAUUGCCCCUCCUGCUAGAUUUUGGAAUAUGUGUAUAUUUGUUGUUUCCUUACAUUUACAGAAAAUAAAGAUAUUUUGAAGAAAA